rnacentral:rRNA from 1 species
UACAGAGGGUGCAAGCGUUGUUCGGAAUUAUUGGGCGUAAAGCGCGUGUAGGCGGCAGUGCAAGUCGGGUGUGAAAGCCCUCAGCUCAACUGAGGAAGUGCGCCCGAAACUGCAUUGCUUGAGUACCGGAGAGGAUGGCGGAAUUCCCGAAGUAGAGGUGAAAUUCGUAGAUAUCGGGAGGAACACCGGUGGCGAAGGCGGCAUCCUGGACCGGCAUUGACGCUGAGGCGCGAAAGCCAGGGGAGCAAACGGG